rnacentral:rRNA from 1 species
UACGGAGGGUGCGAGCGUUGUCCGGAAUCAUUGGGCGUAAAGAGCGCGUAGGCGGCCAGAUAAGUCCGGUGUGAAAGUCACAGGCUCAACCUGUGAAUGCCGCUGGAAACUGUCUGGCUAGAGUCCGGGAGGGGCGAGUGGAAUUCCCGGUGUAGCGGUGAAAUGCGCAGAUAUCGGGAGGAACACCAGCGGCGAAGGCGGCACUCUGGGCUGGAACUGACGCUGAGGAGCGAAAGCGUGGGUAGCAAACAGG